CCUGGUUUGUGGAAACGCAGCCGGUGCAGUGCUUUGGCACGAGGACACCUGGGUGUGGGGAGAAGACAAUGGGGCAGGGGCACUGAUAGGGCUGCUGGCCACAUGCAGCCUCACCUGGGACCCCCACCCACCCAUGGGCAAGGAUCCCUAUAAGAUCAGUGUCCAGGCACUACACCUGGUUCUGCUUCCUUGAUAGAUGCUGACCUCCCUGCAGCUCUUUCAUGGACUUCUCACCCUGCCAUGGACUUCUCACCCUGCCAUGGACUUCUCACCCUGCCAUGGACCUUGGUGGAAGCCCUUCAAGGAGAAGCGCAUGCUUGAGAAGGAUGGGAAAGUCCAACACCACUUUUACUCCAGGAAAACAAACAAACUACAAAACUUAAUUGCUUUGCAGACAGCAGCUCUUGUGCCAGGGCGGUUUAUCUCAGCAAUAGCAAUCAAGGCUCCUGCUUGGAUGUGGGCAGCUGCUGGGGGGCAGCUAGCAGCGCUCCAAAAAGUCUCCUGGUGUCAGCGGGCAGCUGAGAGUGGGCAAGAGAUGUGCAAGCAGAAGGAUAACAGGGGGAAAGCAGCAGUUUGAAUGCAGCCCAACUCCUGGUCUGCGAGGGCUUGACAUAAGUAUUUAAGCCUUUGGAUGGGAUCUGGUGAUAGCGGAGGGCUGGAAAGCGCGCUGCUUUUGUGGUUAAAAGUCCUUUUGUCGGUCCAUAAAUCCCGAGCGAGCUCUGUUUAUUCUGUUUACUGCAGUUACCCAACCCGUGAGCCGCUGUGUAAAUCAUGGCACGCUGUGAUUUAGAGUGGAGCUGCUCUGCCCGUGGCGUGUGCAGCGUGUCCCUGGCCAGACCCCCACGCAGACGUCCCACUCCUCCAGAAGCCGGCAGAUAAGGGCAAUAAAAGCCACAGCUCUCUCCCA
rnacentral:lncRNA from 1 species